rnacentral:lncRNA from 1 species
AUGUUUAAGAAAAGCCUGGAGCCUCUCAUAAAAAUCAGAUGUUGCAAGAGAGGUGCAAGCCUGCGGCUGCAUUGGCUGUGUCCGACUGGCUCCGCAGUGUGCCCCAACCUGAGCAGCUCCCUCCUCAGCAUGAACAAUAUGCAUUGCGAUGACCGUGCAGCCGGACACUCCUCAGUCCUCCCAGGAAAACCUAGUAUCACAGUUUUAAAAGCAACCACCCUACUAGAUACAAAAGGGAGAAGUUAUGGGAUUGCGGAGGGAAUAGCAGGUAAGCUGCUCACACCCAGCUUCAGUCCUGCACAGGUAAGUAGGUUAUUGUUUUCCUACAGACACAGAAACCACCUAAAUCUCUGUAAUACUCCGUCCUCUCUUUUUUAAGAGAAUCUUUUAUAGAUACAAUUUUCUGAGUUUAGACUUGUCUAGAAUCUGGGUCUUUCUCCUGGUAGUUUUCUAAGAAAUCUCUAAUUUCUUCUUAGUGUCACCCAAAUUCUAUUUCAGUUCAACCUAAAAUACCCUCUUCUCUAUGCCAUGACUUUGCAAAACAUCUCUAGUUCUGGGUGGUUAAGAUCCAGAAAGCCUUGGCUUCAAAUGCACCUGUAAAUAAAAAAAAUCAUAAAUGAGAUUAAAAUAAAAGCAAAGAGUGAAAGGCUCUUGCCCUAGUGUAAAUUAUUGUACAGUUAAGGCGGUGGUCUAACAUGACAGAAGGCCAAAUCGGGAAUGCUUACCACCUCCUGCUUCUCCUUCAGCCCUAAUUGCAACUCCCCUUCCUGUUUGCAUGCACAGAGAAUUCCAAUCGGUUCCUCAUACGUCAUCAAUAUCUGCCCCAUGAGCCACUUCAGAUCAGGUCAUAUAACCCUCUGCCUCUCUGCAUCUGGUCGAAGGAGACAGCCCAGCUGCCUUGGGUUAUGCGCUCUUGUCCACGUCCUCAACUCAAUAAACCUGUUCGUUUUGUACUUUUUGCUUCUCUGUUGCACCAGAAUACUCUAAUAAAGAGCAUCUUUAUUUGGGUACAGAACAGAUUUACAAACCAGGAAACAUAGGUUC